rnacentral:rRNA from 1 species
UACAGAGGGUGCAAGCGUUAAUCGGAAUUACUGGGCGUAAAGCGUGCGCAGACGGUUGCGUAAGUCAGAUGUGAAAGCCCCGGGCUCAACCUGGGAAUUGCAUUUGAGACUGCGUAGCUAGGGUGCGGAAGAGGGAAGCGGAAUUUCCGGUGUAGCGGUGAAAUGCGUAGAUAUCGGAAGGAACACCAGUGGCGAAGGCGGCUUCCUGGUCCAGAACCGACGUUCAGGCACGAAAGCGUGGGGAGCAAACAGG